rnacentral:lncRNA from 10 species
GGAAAAGUUGAUGCGCCUUUUAAGAAGUGAACAACCAAGUUAUUUGCCUGGAAAAGUCUCCUGAAAUACUGAAGUUAUGCUAAAGAAGGAGAAGAGAAAGGAAGCUGCAGUCCCUGUAUAACUCCUAAAUUUUUAAUUUGGAGUUCCUCUUCUUCGGUGCAACAAUCUUUCUGCAUGCACAGAUCCAUGUGGCACUCAUCUCAUCAUUCUGAGGGAAGAAAGAUGCAUAGGGAAUGUUGCAUGUGGUUAUUUCUGCAGAACCCACAGAAAACAAUAAAGCACGAGAGAAAAGAGGAUGGCAGUUUACCCAGGAAACAUAGGUUGUGCAAAGCUUUGCAAUGAUACUCUCAAUUCAGAGCAAUGAAGAACAGAAUGCUGUCUUCCCAUAAUGAUGGCAUUCAAUUAUCACUAGACUUACAAGACUACAGAAAAUUUCUCAAGAACCAGUAAGGAUCAGACAGAGCCAAUGACAAUACUGAAGAAGCUUGCCAGUGGAGAAUGAAAGCUCAGUUACACAAAUUACGUUGUUGAACCAGUGCCAGAAAUAAAAUGUGAUGGACAAACUCAUUAAUUAUGAGCGUGAACCAGACAAAACUGAGAAUAAGGUGGGAAUUCCUUCAUAAUCUGUCCCUACUUAGUUGCACCAUAACCAUAAAUAUUGUAAGAGGCAAAAGAGUGGUAAAAAGCUCAUUAACACUGAGAUUAUUCUUGUUAAUUCAUCUGAAUGAGACCUUAACGUACAAAAUAACUUGAAUUACAGAAAAUGUUGAAAAGUUGUAUUUCUUGCACAUCUAAGAUUGAGAGGGAGAUAUAUGUGUGAAUUGUCACGAAAGGCCAUCUUCAAGAUAUCACAAUCAAUCUGUAGAUUAAGGUCAGCCAAUAUAAUAUUCCAACCUGAACCUUUGAAAACUGAACAGGAGUGAGUAUAAUAAUCUCUAGAAAAGCAUCAGUUAAGAUUCUAGCUUGGCCAUCUCCAUCAUCUGUGUCCUUUAUUUCUAAUAACCUUCAAGUUUUCUAUAUAUGACAUUAUCUUUCCAGUCUCCUCGGAAAAAUUGCUCUUCACUUCAAUUAGUUUGAAUCAGUUUAUUUUGCUUUCCACCAAGAGCUGAAAUUUUUCUAAACCUGCACACUCACUUAUGAAGUCCCUAGAGAUUACACGUUACUUGUGUUCCUUAGUCUUCAUUCCUUGUUCUUAUCCUGUUUACUCUUCUAUGCAUCAAUUCUGUGAGAGGCAAAACCAAUUUUUAUGUGUGUAAAAGGGAAAAAAACAUAUGUGCAUAACUAAUGACUUCUGAAAUUUAUUAUGACAAGAACCCUCCCACUCAGAAGAAUUAUGAAGGCUUGUUGUAAAAAAUAAGAAAAUAAGUCUUUGAUAAUGACAGACAACAAUUAGGUUGCUUGGACUUCAGAAUUUUAUUCUAAAUAAACCUUCUAAACUGAACUUACUACCCCAAACCUUGCCUCAAUCUGCCUGUGAUAGUAAGGUAAGAUUUAUUCAAUUCACCAAGUCAGCUAAGAUCAGGUUAACUCUUGCCUUCUCAAAGUGUCCCACUAUCAAGAUAUCCAAGGUAAUCACACCUCUCCUGCAACAAAAAUUUACAAAUACAGCAAGAAUGGUAUAAGAACAAACAUGUGUCCUUACAUUGGUCCUAUUGUGUCCAGAAUUGGUGGGUUCUUGGUCUCACUGACUUCAAGAAUGAAGCCGCGGACCCUCACGGUGAGUGUUACAGUUCUUAAAGAUGGUGUGUCUGCAAUUGUUCAUUUUUUCCAGUGGGUUCAUGGUCUGGCUGGCCUCAGUAGUGAAGCUGCAGGCCUUCAUCUUUAGUGUCACAGUUCCUAAAGGUGGCACGUCCAGAGUUGUUCGUUCCUCCCAUCCAGAGUUAUUCGCCCCUCCUGGUGGGUGGAUUCAUGAUCUCGCUGGCUUCAGGAGUGAAGCUGCAGACCUUCUCGGUGAGAGUUACAGCUCAUAAAGAUGGUGCAGACCGAAAGAAUAAGCAGCAGCAAGAUUUAUUGCAAAGAGCAAAAGAAGCAAAGCUUCCCCAUCACGGAAGGGAACCCAAGCAGGCUGCCUGGGCUGGCUCGGGCAGCCUGCUUUUAUUCCUUUAUCUGACCCCACUCACAUCCUGCUGAUUGGCCCAUUU